AUACGGAGGAUGCGAGCGUUAUCCGGAUUUAUUGGGUUUAAAGGGUGCGCAGGCGGCCAUUUAAGUCAGCGGUUAAAUCGUGGGGCUCAACCCCAUUCUGCCGUUGAUACUGGGUGGCUUGAUUGCGGUCGAGGUUGGCGGACUUCGUUGUGGAGCGGUGAAAUGCAUAGAUAUGACGAAGAAAACCGAUUGCGUAGGCAGCUGACCAGAUCGCAAAUGACGCUCAUGCACGAAAGUGCGGGGAUCGAACAGGAAUAGAUACCCUGGUAGUCCGCACAGUAAACGAUGAAUACUUGUUUUCGGCGAUAUAAUGUCGGAGGCAAAGCGAAAGCGAUAAGUAUUCCACCUGGGGAGUACGCCGGCAACGGUGAAACUUAAAUGAAUUGACGGGG
rnacentral:rRNA from 1 species